rnacentral:rRNA from 1 species
UACGAAGGUCCCGAGCGUUAUCCGGAUUUAUUGGGUUUAAAGGGUGCGUAGGCGGGUUAUUAAGUCAGUGGUGAAAGCCUACAGCUUAACUGUAGAAUUGCCAUUGAUACUGAUGAUCUUGAGUAUGAUUGAGGUGGGCGGAAUGUGUCAUGUAGCGGUGAAAUGCUUAGAUAUGACACAGAACACCGAUUGCGAAGGCAGCUCAC